CUUUCAGGAUAUAGACUGGCAGAAAUUUCUGGAAAGGACAAUCAUGCCUCCAUUUGUGCCAGACAUGCAAGGCCAUCUGGAGAGCUUCAUGAAUCCCAAAUGCCAAGGUCGAGCAUUAAAUACAUCAGCGCGGAGAAUAACACCAGCGCAGCAAGAGGCAUUCGUGGGCUUUGAUUAUUCCCCUGACUGAACAACACACAGUCUGAAGGGGCAAAGGUCGGAAUGGACGGGGUGGGCGGAGGGCCAGUCCAUAUCCGUAUAAGCAAUCCCAGUCGUAUGAAAUGAAUAUCAGAUGGCUCACGUACGUUCUGAAGGAAACGCAGAAAAUUCUUCUCAAUACAAACAUAAUCGCCUGUGUAACAGUUGAGAAGAUCAAGUACGAAGGUUGCAGUUACCCAACAUGGAAGAUCUGAAGGAGAGAAUAUUGAGGAUGGUUUCCAUCUGUAACCUCCCCAAGGUCUCACAAGAGUUUUCAUCCUCCUACUUGCAGGUGUGAGAUGGAGUGGCGGCGGCCAAAUGUGGUCAUUACACAAGGAAUCGCUCCUAGGAACCGAGAGAAGAAAAAAGAAGUUGAUCUACAGCAGGUUAAGCUGCAAGUGAGAAGAGGAUCAGCCGGUGAAUCAGUGCACGGGGUAAUAGCAGCACAGUAUUACAGAUGGUUUCCCCAAGGACUUACCUUUCAUUCGGUGAAGGACCAGUUUGAGAGAACAGCAUCGCCAUGGACUCCAGGAUUAUUGCCAUCGCUUAUUUGCUCCUUCCCAACGUUUAAAUGGGAGACACUGACUCCGGCAGCCAAAACCAACUGCUCUGUGAUGCUCCCGUUUUUCUUUAUUGUUAAUUUACAAUAUUAUUAA